UACGGGGGGGGCAAGCGUUGUUCGGAAUUACUGGGCGUAAAGGGCGCGUAGGCGGUUGGAUAAGUCAGCUGUGAAAACCACGGGCUUAACUCGUGGCCUGCAGUUGAGACUGUCUGGCUUGAGUGUGGGAGAGGAGAGUGGAAUUCCCUGUGUAGCGGUGAAAUGCGUAGAGAUGGGGGAGAACACUCGUGGCGAAGGCGGCCAGCUAGACCAGUUCUGACACUGAGGCGCGAUAGCGUGGGGAGCAAACAGG
rnacentral:rRNA from 1 species